rnacentral:rRNA from 1 species
UACGAAGGGGGGCUAGCGUUGUUCGGAAUUACUGGGCGUAAAGCGCACGUAGGCGGAUCGAUCAGUCAGGGGUGAAAUCCCAGGGCUCAACCCUGGAACUGCCUUUGAUACUGUCGAUCUGGAGUAUGGAAGAGGUGAGUGGAAUUCCGAGUGUAGAGGUGAAAUUCGUAGAUAUUCGGAGGAACACCAGUGGCGAAGGCGGCUCACUGGUCCAUUACUGACGCUGAGGUGCGAAAGCGUGGGGAGCAAACAGGG